CACGGCGGGCCACGGCCCCCCCACAGGCCACGCCCCCGGCAGGACCCGCCCUCCAAUCGGUUCCACCCCCGCUGGGCCGCGCCCUCGGUGAUAGCAGCAGAAACACCUUCCAGGAGAGACGUGAGCUGAAAAUGAAUGGUUUGCAUUAGAUUGUUAUGCUGGUAAGUACAGGUUGAAGUAAAGAUGCUUUAGAGCAUUCACUGGUUAUUCAAUGCUUAAUAAUAAAGGUAAUAAAUAAAAAUUUUUACAAGAGCAAUCCUGGAAGAAGCAUGAGAGGUAUCACAAAAUACAGCUCCUGGCUGAUGAAGCACCCUGUAACUGUGCAGGAAAGAGAGCAUGGUGUGACUGUACAAAAGCCCUUUAUUCCAACUACUGGAAGGAGUAGCUCAGACAUAUCCUUGGAGUACUGUCAGGUGAAAGAGUAACAGCAUUGAUCCAACCUCCUCCACCACUUUCUUUUUUUCAUAGUAGAUUCUCCUGAGGUGGCCCAAUUUCUGUCUUCUACUGGUAUUAUUAACUUGAGAAGUCUCCUUCUCUUCCCUAAUUUGUGGCUCAUGCUGGUGAAAUGAGCAAAAUCAGCUGUAGAUAAACAACUCCUGUGACUUCUGUUUUCUGUCAGAGUGAGGUUAACAGCACUCAGUCACUGACAGCAUCAACACCUUGAUGGUUGUCAUAGGUUUACUUGUUCUAAAAAAACAGGCAGGAAAUUUUUCUUUCCCCUGCAUUGCUGUAAGGGGGGGAUGUUGAAAGGGGGAGGGUAGUUUUUGCCUUGGGUGAUUGACCCACACAAAAGAACUAACCAGCAGAUCCACAUUCCAAGCUGAUGGCCCUCCGAAGACUGGGGAGGGGUGAUGAGGUUUUUUUCCCUCUCCUCGGAAAUGGGAGGCACUUCACUUUUGCUCUGACUGUAGGGAGGGUGUGUGUUGGAGGGGUCCGAGGUUCACUUUGGUUUUGGCCUGGUCAUCUGGCUUGUUUUCUGGCCCCGGUGUGCCUCCGUUUUCCUGCGCCCUGUUCUGUCCCAGCUCAGAUCUGCUCGGAUUUCAUCGGAGAGGCUUGACCCACUUGCAGAGGAACCUUUUUGGGAGGAGGUUGCCCUUUCCCUCCUCCGUUCCCGUGUUGGCAGCGGCGUGUGUCCAUCGAGGAAAAGGGGGAAAUCCCGGCCACGGCCAGCCGCAAACAGCGUGAGUUUCGGGGGGAAAGCCCCCUUUUCCCCUUCCCCUUCUCGGUGUGGGGGGGGAAGACCUCCAUUUUCGGCUUCUCCCACGGACCCGGGGCCCCGCGUGGCGACCGCCAUGCCCAACAGCGCCCCCUGCUAGCCAACACCGAGCACUGCAGGCUCUGCUCCUCCAGUGAUUCAACAGCGCCCCCUGCUGACCGUUGCUAGAAUUGUGUCAAAAGGUGGAAAAGUACCGACCUGUUUCCUUUUGAGGGGGAUUUUUGGGUACAGGAUUAUUGGUUUGAUCGGUUUUUGUAUUCUUUUGUUGUUCUGCCAAUACACAUAUAUCCUUUAAUAAAGGGCUGUUAUUUUUCCUUUCUCCAUGCUUCCUCAAUUAGAGCCUCUUAAUUUCGGAUUUACGGUUGCUUAGAGGGAGGAGUUUGGUCUUCCUCAUAACAUCCUCCUUAGCAAAACACUUCAGUCUCAUUAAACUGAGACAAGAGGAUAGUCCAUGACAUCACAAAGGGGCCCAUAGCACGCAGGUUGGACUGCACUCUGACCUCGUGGGGUGUUGGUUCUUUGGUUUCCAGGGCUCAUUCUGGAAUGGAGAGGAUAGGCCAUGACAUCACAACGAGGCCCAUGGCACACGGGUGUGGCUGCUCUCUGCGGGUGUGGGUUGUUGGUUCUUUGUUUUCCAGGGGCCAUUACAGAAUGGAGAGGAUAGUCCGUGACGUCACAAAGGGGCUCAUACCACAGAGGUAAGGUUGCAAUGUGGGAGAGUGGGAUGUGUGUUCUUUGUAUUCCAGGGGCCUUUAGGAGCUGGAGAGGAUAGGCCGUGACAUCACAAAGAAGCCCAUGGCACACAGGUGAGGCUGCAUUCUGACAGUGUGGGGCACUGUUUUUUGGGUUGACAGGGGCUAUUCUGGAAUGAGAGGAUAGGCCGUGACAUCACAAAGGGGCCCAUGGCACACAGGUAAGAGUGCAAUGUGGAGGAGUGUUAUAUGUGUUCUUUGGUUUCCUGGGGCCGUUCCAGAAUGGAGAGGAUAGGCCGUGAAAUCACACAGGGGCCCAGGGCACACAGGUGGGGCUGCACUGUGAUAUUGUGAGGCGUUGGUUCUUUGGUUUCCAGGGGCCAUUCCCUAAUGGAUAGGAUAGACUAUUACAUCAGAAAGGAGCCUAAGGCACACAGGUGGGGCUACCAUGUGUUAGUGUGGGGCAUUGAUUCUUUGGUUUCCUGGGGCCUUGCAGAAUGGAGAGGAUAAGCUGUGACAUCACAAAGGGGUGCCAGUUACAUGGGUUGGGCUGCUCUGUGGGGUGUGAGGUGCUGCCUGUUUGGUUGCCAGGGACAUUCUGGAAUGAUGGCAGUAGGCCGUGACAUCAAAAAGGGGCCCAUGAUACACGGAUGGAGCUGCACUGUGCCACUGUGGGGUGUUUGUUCUUUGGUUGCAAGGGGCAAUUCCGGAAUGGAAAGUGUAGUUUGUGACAUCACAGUGAGGCCCAUGGUACACAGGUGGGGCUGUACUGUGGGGGAAUGCAGUGUUCUUCUUUGGUUGCCAGUGUCAAUAGUCAAAUGAAGAUGCUAGGCCGUGACAUCACAAAGGUGCCCAUGGCACAUGGGUGGGGCUGUACUCUGGGGGUUUGUGGUGCUGGUUCUUUGGCUGAAAAGGGCCAUUCCAGAAUGGGGAGGAUAGGUCGUGACAUCACAAAGGGGCCCAUGGCACAUGGGAGAGACUGCACUGUGACAUUUUGUGGCUCUGCUCCACUGGGAAUACAGCCAGCCACUGCAAAAAAAUCACAAAGGCAAAGGCACAUACUGAGGGAUAACCUCAGAGUGCAACAUUCUGACCAAAGGUCCCCUCUCAGGUUCCUUUGUACUGACCUCUUACUGCAGGGACCUCCUUCCCAUUCUGCUGACGCUUGUAGGGUUGUGUACCACCAGUAAAAAAAAACAAAUGAUAAGGGAUGUGCUUAGAUUCACCAAUGAUACAGCCCGCCAGAAUUAACAUCUGCUUCAGACUGGCAGGAAAAUGCUCACCUUGCUCGUCUGCCCUCCAGUGCCAAUAGCCCGCCCCACCGCUUGCAUCCCACCUCGAAAGAGAGAACAAAAAGACGCUCACAAGAAUGACCUUUGAAGAGCAGUGCCUGUCAGAACAAUCUUAUGUGGGUGAUAUUCUCCGCUCUGACCUGCAAACCCUAGUGCUGGGGUCGAAACUAAGACUCUCUGCUUCCCUCUCCUAAGGGAUUUGUUUUUAGACAUCUCUUUCCCUUACGCUCAUUUCAAAAGCCCUCCUGGCAAUUCCCAAGCCUGUACCUGGCUCUCAUCCCCUCUCUGGCUCAGAGCCCUCGACUUAUCUUUCAGAGAGCUGGGCCUGUCAAUUCGUCUUCCAAAAGCAUGGCCCUUCGGCUGGCUCAGAGGUUCCUGCAGUCGCACCAGGCCCUGCCCAAGACCCUCCUAUCAGGGUCUGGGCCCUGGAGGCAGGGGGAGAACCCCCCUGCGGCUUGGCCAUUGUUCCCCAGCCCUUGUCUGGCCCAGCCUCCUCCCCCCUGCACACUCCCCACUGCCACAGGCUGCACUGGGGCAGCAUUUCCUUCUUGGGCCCUUUAGAGCUGCCCCCAUGGGGACACUUCCAUCUUCUGGGCCAAGCACCAGAGCCAAUCCCAGCCAGUCCCAUCGUCCCCAGUCCGACUUCCUGACUCCUGGUGGCCCCUGGAAGCCAAGAGCCAAAGGUCGACACCCACAGAGUGCAGCCCCACCCAUCUGCACUGGGGCCCCAGGGGUUCCCUUUACCAAACAGCCCCUGCGAACCCUUGUCAGAGAGAAAAUUGGGUGACUCCUGGAUGCUUUUAAUAAAGAGGUCUAAACAUUUCUUGAA